GGGCUAUUAGAAAUUUAUUUGAUUUAUAUGUCGGUUAAAUCAUAACUUACACUUUGUUAUGUUUAGGUGAAUGAGUGAAAUCUGAUAUUUUAUAAUAUUACAGGGUUAUUUAUGAAAUCUUUAAUUUAAAAAGUUUAAGGGAUAAAACAGGAUUAGAUACCCUGUUAUACUUAAGUGAAAUUUACAUUAACUGGGGUAGUAAGAAGAUAUGGGCUUGAAACUCAGAGGAAUUGGCGGUACCUAAGUCUGGUCAGAGGAACCUGUGUGGUAAACGAUAAUCCACGAGAAUCUAGCUUUCCCUUGUAACUUUCAGUUUGUAUACCGCCAUUAUCAGGUAAUUUUAUUUGAAAUUUAUCUUAGAAGAGUUAUGUCUAGAAAAUUAGGUCAAGGUGCAGCUAAUGGGGGAGUUUAACAUGGGUUACAUUAAUAGUGAGAUUAUUGAAUGAAUAAGAGAGGGUAAAUUUUCUUUGAAGGAGGAUUUGAUUGUAAUUAGGAGGAUUAAAUCUUUUUGAUAAUAGCUCUUGGGUAUGUACACAUUGCCCGUCGUUCUCGCUUU
rnacentral:rRNA from 1 species